rnacentral:rRNA from 1 species
CAAGCGGUGGAGCAUGUGGUUUAAUUCGAAGAUACGCGAAGAACCUUACCUGGGCUUGAUAUCCUAAGAACCUUUUAGAGAUAAGAGGGUGCUAGCUUGCUAGAACUUAGAGACAGGUGCUGCACGGCUGUCGUCAGCUCGUGUCGUGAGAUGUUGGGUUAAGUCCCGCAACGAGCGCAACCCACGUAUUUAGUUGCUAACGGUUCGGCCGAGCACUCUAAAUAGACUGCCUUCGUAAGGAGGAGGAAGGUGUGGACGACGUCAAGUCAUCAUGGCCCUUAUGCCCAGGGCGACACACGUGCUACAAUGGCAUAUACAAUGAGACGCAAUACCGCGAGGUGGAGCAAAUCUAUAAAAUAUGUCCCAGUUCGGAUUGUUCUCUGCAACUCGAGAGCAUGAAGCCGGAAUCGCUAGUAAUCGUAGAUCAGCCAUGCUACGGUGAAUACGUUCCCGGGUCUUGUACUCACCGCCCGUCACACCAUGGGAGUUGAUUUCACUCGAAGCCGGAAUACUAAACUAGUUACCGUCCACAGUGGAAUCAGCGACUGGGGUGAAGUCGUAACAAGGUAACCGUAGGAGAACCUGCGGUUGGAUCACCUCCUUU